rfam:Ictidomys tridecemlineatus contig043334, whole genome shotgun sequence.
GGGGUUGUAACUCAGUGGUAGAGUGCUUGCCUAGCAUGUGUAAGGUACUGAGUUCGAUUCUCAGCACCA